CCCUUAGAUGUCCUGGGCCGCACGCGCGCUACACUGACGGAGCCAGCGAGCUUACCCCUUUGCCGAAAGGCAUGGGAAAUCUUUUGAAUCUCCGUCGUGCUGGGGAUAGAUCAUUGCAAUUAUUGAUCUUGAACGAGGAAUUCCUAGUAAGCGCAAGUCAGCAGCUUGCGUUGAUUACGUCCCUGCCCUUUGUACACACCGCCCGUCGCUACUACCGAUUGAAUGGUUUAGUGAGAUCUUCGGAUUGGCGCCACUGCGGCUCAGCAAUGGGCUCGGUGGAUGCCGAAAAGUUGAUCAAACUUGAUCAUUUAGAGGAAGUAAAAGUCGUAACA
rnacentral:rRNA from 1 species